UACGUAGGUGGCAAGCGUUGUCCGGAUUUACUGGGCGUAAAGGGCGUGCAGGCGGUCUGUUAAGUGCAGGGUGAAAGCUCCCGGCUCAACUGGGAGAGGUCCUUGCAUACUGGCGGACUUGAGGGGGGUAGAGGAAAGCGGAAUUCCACGUGUAGCGGUGAAAUGCGUAGAGAUGUGGAGGAACACCAGUGGCGAAGGCGGCUUUCUGGUCUGUAACUGACGCUGGAGGCGCGAAAGCGUGGGGGAGCAAACAGG
rnacentral:rRNA from 1 species